AUUGGUCGAUUCGCCGCGGACCCGCGCGAACGAUGAAAAAAAAAUGAGCAUCCAAAGAUAGACGGCAGCCAAUCGGAGAGCCGAUUGAAUAACUUCGCGUUCGAAUAUUUCUUACGAAACUGCAGAUGCAAUUCGCUACUCUCCGAAACAUGAGGUAACCAGAGAAUCCUCCGUCGUAGAAUUUGAAAUCGAACAAAAAGCGAAAAACCAGAGGAGACGAACGAUUGAGAAAACGAAUGUUACGAGGUUUUAUACCUGGAACUUGAAAAGUGAAUUUGAAUGUUCAAAAUUGGCGGCGAUUCAACUACAUCGACGACCUCUGCGUUCGAAAUUAGAUUAGUCCGAUCGUGUGUAUCAAUGUUUUGAUCCCAUGGAUCGAAAUCGCACAAAAAUUGUGAGAACUUUGAAGUUUUUUCUCACGUUAUGUCCGUGAAUUGAUGACGUGUCUUUCACGUCGUUUCGAUUGUCAAAUAAAUUUUCAACAAUGUUCCGACUCAUGGUGAACGUGUUUUCGAAACGCGUUCAAAAUUGUCGCGAGAAACCACGUCCGUUGAAAUUUUCGAAACAAACACUCCAAGCAUAACGAAAUAGGUAUUUGUACGUUAUGGAUAACUCACCUGGCCAGUACCCACGGCCUUUUCGGAUGAAAGGACAAGCCCUUAACGCGGGCAGAUUUCGUUUCGAACUUGGUCAACAUUUUGUCGCGUUAUCCUCGAACAAUCAAGUGUUAAUGAGAUCGCAUUAUAUUCAAGUAUGUUGCGACGUCCCAAUUUUGAGGAACACCCUCGACACGUCACUGUACAAUACUCGACGGAAUGGCUGCCGAGAAAUGAAGCUGAAACUCGAUUUGUCGGAAAGCUUGGAGCAUUUGCCUCAAAGCGCCCCAACAUUUGUUAGGUCGUCCGACAACCGAACUGGUGCCGUUUGACAACCUAAAAGCAACCUUCGCUAUCGACGGAUAAGGUUGCCCCGACGUGGUUUGAAUUUUUUUCACAAGAUGGCCGCCGACUUGACCCGAAAGCUUUCAAAUAAGUGCGGGACAUUUGCCGCCAGGGUACCUGCAGUUUAAAAACAGGUAAGUAUGUAAGUAAAAUCUAAUUGAAUGGUGAUGAUUAUCUCAAAGGAUUGUAGAAUAAUUUACUAUUAUAUCCGAUAUGCUACAGAAUGUAUUUAAAUACAAUAUAUCAAUGAAAUAAUGACACCAGAAACUGUACAUUUUUUAAGAUUCUUAAUUCUUCUUUUUUUCCCUCCCAAUUGCUCUUGUGAACCACCAUGACGAUACUUGGCA